rnacentral:lncRNA from 10 species
UCCACUUAUAGCGGCUGCAUAAGCUUAACUGCGCAGAGCUAUACUGCUUUUUGAAAUACUAACUUGCAAGUUCAGCAACAGCUAAGAAAACAAUCCUAGACUUGGAAAUUGAAAGAUUGGAAGAGAAGUGGAGGGAUUCCUUUGGAACCCUUUACGCAUCCAGUACCCUGCUGACUCUGACAUGCCCCCAGCCUCCCCCAGCUCUGCAGGGAGCCCUGGUGCCAGAGACCUUCUCCCAUUUCUCCCUAUGGGUGCCUGACCUGAGGGCAGAGACAUCUGAGUGUGUAUAAGCACAGCAGGACACCAGGACCUGGCCUGAAGACAUUUCCUCUCCUCCCCUCUGGAUUUCUCAGAGACAGUCUCGCUGUGUCGCCUAGGCUGGAGUGCAGUGGCAUGAUCUCGGCUCACUGCAAACUCUGCUUCCCGGGUUCACAUCAUUCUCCUGCCUCAGCCUCCCCAGCAGCUGGGACUACAGGCGCACACUGCCACGCCCGGCUAAUUUUUGUAUUUUUAGUAGAGACGGGGUUUCACCAUGUUAGCCAGGAUGGUCUCGAUCUCCUGACCUUGUGAUCCACCUGCCUCAGCCUCCCAAAGUGCUGGGAUUACAGGCGUAAGCCACCGCGCCUGGCCAAAUCUUUUAUAAAAUUAUACCUUCAGGCUAUGUGGGUAUAAGGUGUAUAUGGAGCAAAAGUGAAUUUCAUGUUUAAACUUGGGUCCUGAUAUGGUUUGGCUUUGUGUCCUCACCCAAAUCUCAUCUUGUAGCUCCCAUAAUUCCCAUGUGUUGUAGGAAGGACCCAGUGG